ACAGUACACUAUUUGCUCAUGGCACCUGAGCCUCUCCAGUCUUGAGGCCUACCCCUUCCCUCCCUUCUCUGGUGAAGAGAGAUGUGACUCAUCUCUGCAGCUCUUUUGGAUGCAGAGGUCUGACGCUCUCUGACUCUAUAGUUACCAGGAAGGCUGUCUCACCCAAGCCCAGACAGUCAUGGGCCCUACUAGGCCAGUUAAACCUUGGAGUCAAACACAGUAGCAUUAGGAUUUAGCAAGGAAAGACAUAGUUGGAAAAUUUUCCAUUUUGAGAUCUGGGAAAAGAGGUAAGUCUUCUGCCACCUAGAAGGUGAGCUCCCUACCCCUGCUCCCCGAGCUUUUCCUUCUGAAACAAGAAAUGUUUCUCUUGGGAGUCGUAUGGGUGUGGGGGCAAGGCUUGCUUUGUUCCCGAAACCAUCCUUCACAGGUUGAAGUCGAUGAGGUGCCAGGAAUUGGUACCUAGGUGCCUCGGAUCCUGUUUGUGACCAAACUUGCUACACCAGAUGCAGUAAUGAGAAUUUAGGUGGCCCCUCUGGUCUCUGAAGAAACCUGAUGUUUUGGAAGUUACUCCUGCCCUGACUGCUCUAGGUAGGCCUGAUUCUCAAAGGGACACCUCAUAGCACCUUAUCACAUGACUUGCUGCAGAACCCUCUCAGCCCCAGAUCUCUCUGCAACUGGCCUAGAAAACAGCGAGGGCUCCUAGGUCACCAGCACACAGGGACAGAUACUCGACGCUGCUUGUGACAGCAUUGCAAGCACAUGCCUGACAUACUUUGGAAAGGCUGCCUGGUUCUAUUACUGGUGCAUGAAAGUUUUGCUCCAGUAGGAAAUCUCUAAAUUUAGAUGAUUUUCAGGAUGAACUCUGAGUGAUCUUUGUCCCCAACACGAGUAAGGAAUUGGAGGGCACCUUGCUUUUUAUUUUAUUUAUUUAUUUAUUUAAUUUUAUUUUAAAUGCCAGAGUUGAUGUUUUAUAAUGCAAAACUUUUGAAGAUUGCCAUUUUUUACAAAAUAAAUUUAUUUAUUUAUUUUUGGCUGUGUUGGGUCUUCGUUGCUGUGCGUGGGCUUUUUCUAGUUGUGGCGAGCAGGGUCUACUCUUCAUUGUGGUGCGCAGGCUUCUCAUUGUGGUGGCUUCUCUUGUGCGGAGCACGGGCUCUAGGCGUGCGGACUUCAGUAGUUGUGGCUUGCAGGCUCUAGAGCGCAGGC